rnacentral:rRNA from 1 species
AAUCCUGGCUCAGGAUGAACGCUAGCUACAGGCUUAACACAUGCAAGUCGAGGGGCAGCAUGAAAGGAACUUCGGUUCUUUUUGAUGGCGACCGGCGCACGGGUGCGUAACGCGUAUCGAACCUGCCUCAUACUCGGGGAUAGCCUUGCGAAAGUAAGAUUAAUACCCGGCGGUCUCGGACGGCCGCAUGACAGUCCGAGUGAAGAUUUAUCGGUAUGAGAUGGCGAUGCGUCCCAUUAGCUUG